AGAGCACAACACUCACGAACCUAACUUCCAGCUGCAGCUGCUGCUAUGGCCGCUCGUUCAAGAUACCGGAGCAAGCACAUCUGUUCACGGUGCUAGGCUACAUCACGUAGCAUGCCAGACGGACCCACCACAGAUGCGCACACAUGGAACGCAGCUUUCUAUGAAAACACUGCGACCUCACUACAAAAGUACAGGCACACAGAAAACUGUGCUGCACUGAUGUCGGUGUUGGGACCUCAGCUGUAAGAGACCUUGCUUGGAGGAGGGAGAGGACAAGAUGUGACAAUGGAAUCUUCCAACCCUGUUCAUAAGACACCCACAUAUAUUGUCUAUGAAAACUGCCUCCUGGAGCUGUUUGAGGUGUGUCCUGUGUGUCGGCUGGGGACAGAUGUAAUAUAUAAGAAGGGCGAGUGCACAGAAAAGCCGGUGAAAGCAGAUGCAAUCUUCCAUGAUUCUUACAGGCUCUAUUUAAAAGCCAAACAAUGUGAAAACAAUUACAUGGAUAACCUGUUGGACCUCAUCUUUCACCAGGUUUUUCAGGACCCGGCCCCAUAUGUGAAUGAGGUGCUGAAGAUCUCAAAACCUGAGGAUCUCUCUGCCUAGUAUGAGAAACCUGACAAGCAGGAAGUUAUAGCCAGCUAUGUGUCGAGUUUCAAUCAAGGGCAGGUCUGAACCCUGUAUAACUUCCCUGAGCAUCAGGGAACACUCUGCGUAUCUGUAGCACCGAGCAGGAGGGCAGGACCACCCUGAUUCUCCGGCCCAGAGGGCCUCAACACCAGCUCACAAAGCUUCUGUACGCCAAAUACCUGUAACGGCUGAGCAAAGUUCACAUUGUAUUUAGAGA